AAGUCGUAACAAGGUUUCCGUAGGUGAACCUGCGGAAGGAUCAUUAAUGUCUUCGCGAGGCGUUAGCCGAGCGUAUCGAGAGGGUGUGGUUUUGAUGGAGGGUGGAUGGGUUUGAUUACUCGUUCACACUUUUUCAUACAACAAUACGAUUUUGAACAAGGUAUGAGCAAGUGAUUACGACACACAACUGUCACCGGUGGAUCUCUUGGCUCGU
rnacentral:misc_RNA from 1 species